CUCAAGUCGGUGGUGGCCUCAUCAAUUCUCAAGGGCAUUCCUAUUGCCCCAGAUAAGGCGAAAAGGAACCCCUUCGCACGUAAAUGUACUGGAAGCAGAGGGAACGAUACCCAUACGGGAACUAUCGGAGUCUCUUGCUCAGGUGUAAAGUCACAUGUCCACUUAAGGACUCUCAUCGGACAACCAUCAAUAUACCAUGAAGGUUUAAGAAAAAGCCUGCUGUAAUCCUCCUCAUGUGUAAGGUGUAUAAGAAUGUGUGUUGUGUCAAUCAAUCCCACCUCGAAACAACCAUGGAACCCAAACUUAGAAAAAAUCUCACGUACCUUCCUCAUGGUUGGCUUGCGAUGUGGAAAUUUCCCCACAAGUGUAUACUUGUAAGGAUCAGCGAGUGUAGCCUCCUCGGACUCAGUCAAAACUAUUGCCGGCUCACCCAUAUGUAUAAAGGGUUCUUUAGCAGCAAACCCAGCAGUGGAAGAGUCAUCUAUACCCCGUAUAACCGAUGCAAACGACUUUCGUGAACUCCGUUCAGCUUGAGACAGGCCCGGACGGCCAGAAACUGCAGUAGCAUAGGUCUUUCGGCCCUGAUUGAGCACUGUCUGGGCCUCAUGUGGAAAAACCGAUGAUGGAAUUGGGUCCGUAACAAAAUUCCCCACAUUCUGGUGAAGUGUCACCGGCGCGUGACCACCACGCGCCGGCCGUUGACCGGCGGCAAUUUUCCAACGGUGUCAG
rnacentral:lncRNA from 1 species